GAUAAUCUUAUAAGACAUAUGUCCAAAAUUAAAGAAAAAAAUAGAAAUUGAUUUCAUAUUAAAAGCUUUAGACAUGAGAGGUAAUUAACCCAUGGAUAAAAAAUUGAAGCAGUCAAACAUAAAUCGGAACAUACUAGCUAGAAAAUUAAGAGAUAGUGGCACGUACUUGUUCCAUUUAGCAUUCAAUAAUUUGUCAAAGUUUGACCAUAUAAAAGAUAUAGUCUUGGUCAAUUUUGAACAUAUUUUAUAUAUACACUCAAAAACCAUUACGCAAUGUGUACUUAAUUAGUUACUUGUCUUAGACAAUAAACUAACGUGUAAUAUGUCACAUUCCUUCGCGUAAUGACAAGUAAACCAAAAACUUGUUAUAUGACGAAAAGUCAAGCCUUGAUGCUAAGUACUAUAAAAAUGUUUAAGGGGAAGGAUUUAUAAUUUAUAAGCAUAUGCCAUAAUAUUUGAGAGAUGGAACCAUUCGUGAUAUUUAUCGUAAUAGCUGUUUCUGUGUUUGUCUUGGCUGUAAUAUUGAGUUUGUUGUGCCGAGCAAUGGGAGUCCGGCCAGCAUAUGGAAGUGGUGGUGGUGGAGGUUUUGCCCAUCACAAUCACCAC
rnacentral:lncRNA from 1 species